rnacentral:misc_RNA from 1 species
AAGUCGUAACAAGGUAACCGUAGGUGAACCUGCGGUUGGAUCAUUACAAAGUUUUUGUUGUUGCUCUUCGGAGCUUCAACUUCAACCCCUUGUGCAAUUGUGAAUGUUUUUGGGUGUUCUUUUGCGUCUUCGUUAGACGGCGCAAACCACCCACUCUUAACUAAACACUACUAUUUGUCUGAAAUUAAGAAAUUAAUUAUAAACAACUUUUGACAACGGAUCUCUUGGCUCUC